rnacentral:rRNA from 1 species
AUUGAACGCUGGCGGCAGGCCUAACACAUGCAAGUCGAACGAGUGGCGGACGGGUGAGUAAUGUCUGGGAAACUGCCUGAUGGAGGGGGAUAACUACUGGAAACGGUAGCUAAUACCGCAUACCAUCAGAUGUGCCCAGAUGGGAUUAGCUUGUUGGUGGGGUAACGGCUCACCAAGGGGACGAUCCCUAGCGGGUCUGAGAGGAUGACCACCAAAACGGGAACGGGGACAGGGUCCGAACUCCUACGGAAGGCAGCAGUGGGGAAUAUUGGAAAAUGGGCGCAAGCCUGAUGCAGCCAUGCCGCGUGGAUGAAGAAGGCCUUCGGGUUGUAAAGUACUUUCAGCGGGGAGGCGUUACCCGCAUAAGAAGCACCGGCUAACUCCGUGCCAGCCGCCGCGGUAAUAC